GACGAACGCUGGCGGCGUGCUUAACACAUGCAAGUCGAGCGGAAAGGCCUUUCGGGGUACUCGAGCGGCGAACGGGUGAGUAACACGUGAGUAAUCUGCCCAUCGCUUCAGGAUAGCCAUCGGAAACGGUGAUUAAUACUGGAUAUGACAUUCCUUCGCAUGUUGGGGUGUGGAAAGUUUUUUCGGCGGUGGAUGUGCUCGCGGCCUAUCAGCUUGUUGGUGGGGUAAUGGCCUACCAAGGCUUUGACGGGUAGCCGGCCUGAGAGGGUGACCGGCCACACUGGGACUGAGACACGGCCCAGACUCCUACGGGAGGCAGCAGUGGGGAAUAUUGGACAAUGGGCGGAAGCCUGAUCCAGCAACGCCGCGUGAGGGAUGACGGCCUUCGGGUUGUAAACCUCUUUCAGCACAGACGAAGUUUUGCUUUUUUGGGUGAAGUGACGGUAUGUGCAGAAGAAGGACCGGCCAACUACGUG
rnacentral:rRNA from 1 species